GACAGAGGUUGCAAACGUUGUUCGGAAUUACUGGGCAUAAAGCGCACGUAGGCGGUUCGUUAAGUCAUGUGUGAAAUCCCUCGGCUCAACCGAGGAAUUGCGCCUGAUACUGGCGGGCUAGAGAUCGAUAGGGGUGAGUGGAACUCCAGGUGGAGCGGUGAAAUGCGUAGAUAUCUGGAGGAACACCGGUGGCGAAGGCGGGUCUCUGGGCCGAUACUGACGCUGAGGAGUGAAAGCGUGGGGAGCGAACAGG
rnacentral:rRNA from 1 species